GGGGUUGUGGCUCAACAGUACAGCAUCUGCUUUGCAUGCAGAAGGUCUCAGGUUCAAUCCCUUGCAUCUCCA
rnacentral:tRNA from 1 species